rnacentral:lncRNA from 1 species
GAGGGGGCUCUGUGCUGGGCCAGGGGCUGCAGCCGCCAGCUCAAGGCCUGGGUGUGACCCUGCAGCACCAGCGGGGUCCCCUCCCUGUGCCCCGUCAUCAUCAUCAUCAUCAUCAUCAUCAUCAUCAUCAUCAUCAUCAUCAUCAUCAUCCUCGGCCCUCUGUGGGGAGGUGUCACUGCUCAGCCUGGGCACACUGGGGUUUAUCCCAAAACUCCCCAAAAAAAAAAUCCCAAAAAUCUGCAAUGGAAUGGAGACACAGUGUGAGACAGGUGUGGGCUGGGCAGGGCAGCUUCAUCCUCCUAAAUCAAGGAAAUCACCCUGUGCUUUAUCCCAAAAAUCCCAGGGAAGCUUCAUCCUUCCAGAUCACCCUGUGCUUUAUCCCAAAAAUCCCAGGGAAGCUUCAUCCUCCUAAAUUACCUUCUGGUUAACCCCAAAAAUCCCAAGGCAGCUUCAUCCUUCCAAAUCACGCUGUGGUUUAUCCCAAAAAUCCCAGGACAGCUUCAUCCUCCUAAAUCCCCCUGUGGUUUAUCCCAAAAAACUCCAACUGAGUGA